rnacentral:sRNA from 2 species
UGCCCGUCACUCACCUUCACCCACCUCUUUUAACCUCGGAUUGCGUAUUCGCGUAAUGUCUGCUUGAACUUGGUAUAUUGGAUUGGGAUUGCCAAUGUCUUGAGAUCCCAAGCCAAAUAACGAACCAAUAUAUAGUCCUUUGCAUGAAUCAUGAAUAUUUCGGAUGCAAUAGUUACCGAUGAAAACUGAACAUGCAACCCGGACGAGGAAAAGAGAAACAACGAAAACCAAAAGAAAAAGUUGAAGAAAAAGAAAAAGAAAAAAGAGAAGAAAAAAACAGAAACACGUAUAUCAAACUCGUUAACUUAUUUACAGAAAAUCUCUGACGUUAUACGCCCGCGCCAUAACGUACCUCGAUAUUUAAUAAUCUAAUGGAGAGUUCCCUUUCUGACUACCAGAGUCUAAAGGGAAAACCCAAAAGCCCACCCGUGGACUCAUAUACAACUGAAAAGUACGA